GGUGAGUAACGCGUUGGUGACCUGCCCCGAAGUCUGGGAUAACAGUUCGAAAGGACUGCUAAUACCGGAUGUGGUCAUCGGGAUUAGAAUCCGAUGUCUAAAGCAGCAAUGCGCUUUGGGAGGGGCCUGCGUCCCAUCAGCUAGUUGGUAGGGUAAUGGCCUACCAAGGCGUCGACGGGUAGGGGACCUCAGAGGGUGGCCCCCCACAAUGGAACUGAAACACGGUCCAUACACCUACGGGUGGCAGCAGUAGGGAAUAUUGCACAAUGGGCGAAAGCCUGAUGCAGCAACGCCGCGUGUGCGAAGAAGGCCUUCGGGUCGUAAAGCACUUUUCUGGGAGAUGAGAAAGGACAGUAUCCCAGGAAUAAGUCUCGGCUAACUACGUGCCAGCAGCCGCGGUAAAACGUAGGAGGCGAGCGUUAUCCGGAUUCACUGGGCGUAAAGCGCGUGCAGGCGGUUUGAUAAGUUGGGCGUGAAAGCUCCUGGCUCAACUGGGAGAGGUCGUCCAAAACUACCAGACUAGAGAGCGGUAGAGGAAAAUGGAAUUCCCGGUGUAGUGGUGAAAUGCGUAGAUAUCGGGAGGAACACCAGUGGCGAAGGCGAUUUUCUGGACCGUUUCUGACGCUCAGACGCGAAAGCUAGGGUAGCAAACGGGAUUAGAGACCCCGGUAGUCCUAGCUGUAAACGAUGUGGACUUGGCGUUGGUGUCUUAAACACCAUCAGUGCUGUAGCUAACGCGAUAAGAUCACCGCCUGGAGACUACGGCCGCAAGGUUC
rnacentral:rRNA from 1 species